rnacentral:rRNA from 1 species
GACGAACGCUGGCGGCGUGCUUAACACAUGCAAGUCGAACGGUGAAGCGCCUUCCUUUUUGGUGGGUGUGGAUGAGUGGCGAACGGGUGAGUAACACGUGAGUAACCUGCCCCCUUCUUCUGGAUAACCGCAUGAAAGUGUGGCUAAUACGGGAUAUUCUGGGUCUGUCGCAUGAUGGGUCUGGGAAAGAUAUUGUUUCGGUGGGGGAUGGGCUCGCGGCCUAUCAGCUUGUUGGUGGGGUGAUGGCCUACCAAGGCGGUGACGGGUAGCCGGCCUGAGAGGGUGGACGGGCACAUUGGGACGGGGACACGGCCCAGACUCCUACGGGAGGCAGCAGUGGGGAAUAGUGCACAAUGGGCGCAAGCCUGAUGCAGCGACGCCGCGUGAGGGAUGGAGGCCUGCGGGUUGUGAACCUCUUUCGCCAGUGAAGCAGGCCUGCCUCGUUUGUGGGUGGGUUGACGGUAGCUGGAUAAGAAGCGCCGGCUAACUACGUG